rnacentral:rRNA from 1 species
GAUGAACGCUGGCGGCGUGCUUAAUACAUGCAAGUCGAACGAGGAGCCUUUGUAGUAAUACAGGGGAUUUCCUAGUGGCGAACGGGUGAGUAACGCGUUGGUGACCUGCCCCGAAGUGUGGGAUAACAGUCCGAAAGGAUUGCUAAUACCUCAUGUGGUCAUAAGGGUUAGAGGCUUUGUGACUAAAGCAGUAAUGCGCUUCGGGAGGGACCUGCGUCCCAUCAGCUAGUUGGUAGGGUAACGGCCUACCAAGGCAAUGACGGGUAGGGGGCCUGAGAGGGUGGCCCCCCAAAAUGGAACUGAAACACGGUCCAUACACCUACGGGUGGCAGCAGUAGGGAAUAUUGGGCAAUGGGCGAAAGCCUGACCCAGCAACGCCGCGUGUGCGAUGAAGGCCUUCGGGUCGUAAAGCACUUUUCUGGGAGAUGAGAAAGGACAGUAUCCCAGGAAUAAGUCUCGGCUAACUACGUGCCAGCCGCCGCCGUAACAC